rnacentral:misc_RNA from 1 species
AUUGGUGGAGUGUCAUCGUAGCUACAGACAGAUUAAAAACAUGGCACAGCCGACAGGGGACAUUGCUUUGAUUGGACUGGCAGUCAUGGGCCAGAAUCUAAUUCUGAACAUGAAUGACAACGGUUAUACAGUCGUUGCGUUUAACAGAACUGUCGAAAAAGUAAAACAGUUUCUACAAAAUGAGGCCAAAGGUACAAAGGUUGUGGGGGCCAAAUCUCUGGAGGACAUGGUCAGCUAUCAAGGGUAUUUUCCAGUCCAUAUCAGCCAAGUCUGGCAACGAGCCAUGCUGUGAUUGGGUGGGUCCUGAUGGAGCCGGACACUUUGUAAAGAUGGUACACAAUGGCAUUGAGUAUGGUGACAUGCAGCUGAUAUGUGAAGCCUACCACCUGAUGAAGGACGCGCUAGGGAUGUCCCAGGAAGAAAUGGCCGACGUCCUGGAAGAGUGGAACAAAGGUGAGCUGGACUCGUUCCUGAUAGAAAUCUCCCGCGACAUUCUACGCUUCAAGGACAAGGAUGGGAAGUACCUGCUGGAGAAGAUCCGAGACACAGCGGGACAGAAAGGGACCGGCAAAUGGACUGCCAUUUCUGCGCUUGAAUAUGGAGUCCCUGUGUCACUGAUCGCUGAGGCAGUGUUUGCUAGAUGCCUGUCCUCACUUCAAGGGGAGAGAAUUGAGGCUAGCAAACAAAUCCCUGGUCCCAGUAAAACCAAGUAUGAGGGAGAUAAAAAGCAGUUUGUGAAUGACAUCAAAUAUGCCUUGUAUGCCUCUAAGAUAGUGUCCUAUGCCCAAGGCUUUAUGUUGAUGAGAGAAGCUGCCAAAGACUUGGGAUGGAAGUUGAACUUUGGAGGUAUUGCCCUGAUGUGGAGAGGAGGCUGCAUCAUUAGAAGUGUUUUCCUAGGUAACAUCAAGCAAGCUUUCGACAAGAACCAAAAUCUCAGUAAUCUCUUAUUGGACGAUUUCUUCAAGAAGGAGGUCCAGAAAUGUCAGGAUUCUUGGAGGAGGGUUGUGGCCUCAGCUGUGACCUUAGGAAUCCCCACCCCAGCAUUCAGCACCGCCCUGGCUUUCUUUGAUGGAUACAGAUCUGCUAGACUACCAGCCAAUCUCAUUCAGGCCCAAAGAGAUUACUUUGGAGCCCACACAUACGAGCUUCUGGACAAACCGGGAAACUUCAUUCACACAAACUGGACCGGACACGGAGGGAACGUGUCCUCCACCACCUACCAGGCCUGAUCUCACAGCACCGGUCUCUUGUGUGAGGAGUUGAUGGGGCAUUGAGGGUGAAGGGCAGGGGAGGGGGCUAUAUCCCCCCACCACAUAUCGGGCUUAAUCUCAUCUCACCAACUGAAUACCCGCUGUGUCAAAUCUACAUCAUUAGCGCAGUAGUGUUGUUUAAGGAGGAAGUUGUUGAAUUUUUCAAACUUGACUGGAUUUAGCAUUAUUUGUAGUAAUUAUUGUUAGUACAUACAUUGUAUGUACACAGAUGGGCUUUUUCAUAUUUUUUUCAUCUAUAGAAGUGGCAAUAUUUUAUCUCAAUCUGAACAAACUGUCUUGUAUAAGUUAAUACAAGCUAUCACUGCAUUAUUUUUUCCCUUUAAAUUAUAUCAAUUCAUUAUUUAUAAUAAAUGUUCUUAAAUGUAUUUUGUAAUAAAAACAUGCUCUUCAAAAU